rnacentral:rRNA from 1 species
GUGAGGAAUAUUGGUCAAUGGGCGAAAGCCUGAACCAGCCAUGUCGCGUGAAGGAUGAAGGUCCUAUGGAUUGUAAACUUCUUUUGCAGGAGGGUAAAGUGAGCUACGUGUAGUUCAUUGCAAGUACCCUGCGAAUAAGCAUCGGCUAACUCCGUGCCAGCAGCCGCGGUAAUACGGAGGAUGCGAGCGUUAUCCGGAUUUAUUGGGUUUAAAGGGUGCGUAGGCGGAAUAAUUAGUCAGCGGUGAAAUUUUGCGGCUCAACCGUAGAGCUGCCGUUGAAACUGUUAGUCUUGAGUGCGGGAGAGGUAGGCGGAAUGUGUGGUGUAGCGGUGAAAUGCUUAGAUAUCACACAGAACACCGAUUGCGUAGGCAGCUUACUGGAGCGCAACUGACGCUGAGGCACGAAAGCGUGGGGAUCGAACAGGAUUAGAAACCCGGGUAGUCC